UACAAAGUAAAGCAAUGAGCAAAAUUUUUUUCUAAAGCAACACCGUCAAUAAUAAAGUAAAUCCUAAGUACACAUGACCUAAUAAAUGAAUGUUUUUAAACUAACUCAAAGUACAACUACAGUUUUUCUGUAAAAUAAGUUUAUUUAAGGUAUUCAAAAGUAACGUCAGUUAGUUUAGCCAUUUCGGUGGCUGAUGUAGCCUUCUUAAU
rnacentral:lncRNA from 1 species